rnacentral:lncRNA from 13 species
AUGAGACUCACCCCUGAUCCACAGACAGACAGCAUGACAGUCAGACUCACCCCUGAUCCACAGACAGACAGACAGACAGACAGACAGACAGAGAGGCCUCUGGGAGUCUUAUCAAUAAAUUCAAUUAAUCAAGCAAUUUAUGACUCCAAUCAAUGCCUUUAUGUUUCAUUUAAUUCCCCUUACCACUGCCAGCCCAUUAGAUUACAAACUGUCAAGUGUUUGUGUCAUCAUUAAGAAGUCUGUCUAAAUCUGCCUUCCUGGCUCUGAAAGUGUACUUUAAAAGUGGUGGAUCUGGGCCUGUACUUUAGUGUCUCAGAGUGGGAGUUCUGAUCUAGGAUCUGUAUUGCCUUUUAGAUAAUAAUAAUGCAGGUUAUUAUGGACAGGGAGAACCUGAUCCCAGAUCAGCACUCCUACUCUGAGACACUUGGUAAAUACAGGCCCUAAGUGCAACACUGUCCCACCUUCUCACUCGAUACAAAAGUCUCAAGCAGACAAGUAGAUAUUUGGAAUGUCCUUGAAAAACAUUGGGAAUGGAUACUCAACAACAUGAACACAAUAUUAUGGCGGCCUUUCAACAACUUCAGAUAUUGAGUCAUACAUGUAUAAUUUAAAAGUUGUAACUUGGACAAUAUGUGAUUACACUGUAUCUUUACCCUUAGAACUUUUUCUCAAUUGGCCUACCUGGUUAAAUAAAGGUGAAAUAAAAAAAUAAAAGAACUCACUGGUCCUAAAAAUACAGGACUUCGGUGUAAUUUAAUUUCCAGAGCCUCGGGUUUACAGUAGUAUAAACAGUAACAACAACAACAAGAAAUGCCACGCCAAUAUCCAAAUGUAAUAAGCUUCACAAGGGUGUAAUUAACAACCCAAAUCUUCAGGAAACAUCCAUAAGCUUGGUUACCUAGCUACAACAUACAAACGAUAUAUUUCAGAAAGGUAUAAUCUGAAUACACAGACAAUCAUGGAAUACAAAAUAGACAUCAACUACGGGAAUUUACGAAUGAAGACUUUGAGCAUAUUGGGGGACAUUGUUUCUAUAUAUAUACACACACACACACACACACACAACAAUUUGUGGAGAUUCCGAUUAACAUACUUUCCUAAAGAUUUAAUGAAUGACGACCAGAAUAUCAUUUCUAAAUUGAAUGGGCUACAUGCGUGAUAUGCUUUCGUUAUAGCGAUGAAGUAUCAAUUGAUAGACAACACAAUGAUUGAGAACGACAUAUUAUCUAGACAUCUUCAACAGAAAGAUAGGUGAUAAGGAAAACAACUUGUAAUUUUAUGGGAGGAAACGUCAAUGUGUAAGCAAAGCAGACGCUCCAUCACACACACUUCGCCUGGAAGUCGCCUACAUUAUACAUCAGGAUAUAAUAUAAGGAACAUAACCGUACUCACUUUGGCCUAUCCAAUAUGGCGUGUCGGGCAAUUCACUUUAGUUUACCGGUGUAAUUCCUCGUUUAUAGUUUUAAAUCCUUCAAAAACUGAAGUUGCUUAGUGGUUCGUGCGCUCUCCUUUCUCUGCCCACCACUCCAGUCUCGCCUACUACGCCUAGUUCUGUACUUCCCAUCCUGAGCAGAGCAUUCCAAUAUGGCUGACACGCUGAAACAAGGUCAGUGCUAUCCGGGAUCCUUGGGACGUGCUCACCCGAAACCCUAACCUUAACUCAUACCCGUAGCCUAACCUUAAUCAUAACCCUUAUAUAACCUUAACCAUUUUAAACGUCAACUUCAAUGGGUUAGGAAGGUCUCGAGGAUUUCAGAGAGCACAGACCCAGGUUCAACUGGCCCACAGUUGAAGCAACUACACUCCCAACUACACAAACUGUAGCAGCCAAUGAUGACACACUCAGACAACAUUCAUACUGACAAACCUCAAGUCCCUCUUUGAAACAUUAUUCUACUUCAAAUGUUUCGUGUUUCAAGUCAAGGUGAUACAUUGUGUGGUGCCCAUGCACUAAUUGUGUGACAUGUGACAUCAAAGGCUACAAUGUAAGGUUCUAAAACUUCAAAAAAGG